UCCCGUGGUUUUUACCUCUUAGUUUUAGAGGGUUUUCCACGUAAAAUUCUUGGUGUCUCGUGGUUUGAUAGUUUCUACUUAUUAUUUCCUGCAGUGGCUAUUAUUAUUUUGGUGGAGUUGCAGAUUUAUUCUGUUUGGCAUAUACUGAUAUUAUUAUUCAUUUAAUUUAUCAAAGACAACAGUAUUUGGGAGGUGUUUUUCCCAACACU
rnacentral:lncRNA from 1 species